UACAGAGGUCUCAAGCGUUGUUCGGAUUCAUUGGGCGUAAAGGGUGCGUAGGUGGCUUGGUAAGUUUGAUGUGAAAUCUCCGGGCUUAACCCGGAAAUGGCAUUGAAUACUAUUGAGCUGGAGGUUUGGAGGGGGACUGGAAUUCUCGGUGUAGCAGUGAAAUGCGUAGAUAUCGAGAGGAACACCAGUGGCGAAGGCGAGUCCCUGGACAACACCUGACACUGAGGCACGAAAGCUAGGGGAGCAAACAGG
rnacentral:rRNA from 1 species